rnacentral:rRNA from 1 species
AUGAACGCUGGCGGCGUGCCUAAUACCUGCAAGUCGAGCGAACGGACGAGAAGCUUGCUUCUCUGAUGUUAGCGGCGGACGGGUGAGUAACACGUGGAUAACCUACCUAUAAGACUGGGAUAACUUCGGGAAACCGGAGCUAAUACCGGAUAAUAUUUUGAACCGCAUGGUUCAAAAGUGAAAGACGGUCUUGCUGUCACUUAUAGAUGGAUCCGCGCUGCAUUAGCUAGUUGGUAAGGUAACGGCUUACCAAGGCAACGAUGCAUAGCCGACCUGAGAGGGUGAUCGGCCACACUGGAACUGAGACACGGUCCAGACUCCUACGGGAGGCAGCAGUAGGGAAUCUUCCGCAAUGGGCGAAAGCCUGACGGAGCAACGCCGCGUGAGUGAUGAAGGUCUUCGGAUCGUAAAACUCUGUUAUUAGGGAAGAACAUAUGUGUAAGUAACUGUGCACAUCUUGACGGUACCUAAUCAGAAAGCGACGGCUAACUACGUG